UCUUGUUUAGCUCUAUCAAGCAUCCACAAAUUGUCUCCGCUUUUCAACGCCUGGAUCGGCCAUUUGAGCCACAUUUCCUAAUCCUAUGUAUAAAUCAGUCACCUUCACUGCCUCCAUCCCAGACGCUUCACGAUCCUCUGACUCAAGAUGAAGCUGGAUGCAGAACAUGCUCAACACCAGACAGGAAAAGAGUCUACUCGUACAGCCUAUGCAGUUUCAGCAACCCUUAACUGUAAGCUCUAUUUUCACAUGUCGUUCUAAUGGAUGAUUCUUAACUCAUCAGGUGCAUCGCGAAAAGCUACCGGAGAUAGAAAGAUUAGGUGAGACUAGAACCACGAGAAGAGUUCACCGACUAGCCGGAUGGAUUACUUGCAAUUGGGUCUUUUGGGAGAAGUAAUUUCAGGGGAAGCCGGGAAAACCA